rnacentral:rRNA from 1 species
UACGUAGGGGGCGAGCGUUGUCCGGAUUUAUUGGGCGUAAAGGGCGUGUAGGCGGCUUCUUACGUGGUGGGUGAAAUCGCCUGGCUCAACUGGGCGGGGUCCUGCCAUACGGGGGAGCUGGAGGACGGUAGGGGCGCGUGGAAUUCCCGGUGUAGUGGUGAAAUGCGUAGAGAUCGGGAGGAACACCGGUGGCGAAGGCGGCGCGCUGGGCCGGCCCUGACGCUGAGGCGCGAAAGCGUGGGGAGCGAACUGG